AUGUUGCCCCAGCACACCCUAUUGAAUUUUCUAACACGGUCAAAUACAUGAUUAGAGGUCUUCCUUCAACUGGUAGCAUUAGAAUUGGAGGUUCUUGGAGAUACUUCUUGAUUUUGUCAUUCAUCAUUCCAUACCAUCUCUUGAUUUUUCUUUUUUGGUAAUUUGAAGAUGGGUUUGCAGGUAGCAGUCAAAUGUGGGAUGAAUCGGGCAAUGUAAUUCGAGUGCCCCAAGAAACCUCUGACUUCUUUCUUGUCUAUUUCAGUACCCAUUGCAAUUUCAAUUGAUUCCUCCUGCGGCUGUAUGGUCUUUUCUUCUUGUAGUAACAGUCUGACAAGUUCACCAGGGACUUCACAAUCUUCCUCGCUUCCAUCCUCGGCUUGGUAGAUCGGAUUUUCAAAGUCAUAAUGAACAGUAGCAGAACUAUUAUCAACAGGAUCCAGAGUGGAUAUGGAUCGGAAAACUGUUACGUGCGUGUGUGCAAGAAAAC
rnacentral:lncRNA from 1 species